CACCAUUUUCCUCUUCCUCAAUUUCCACCAAAGGUUUAUCCAUCAUUCCCAUUUCCACCAAACACACCAUCACCUACUCCUGUUUAUGACCCACCAGUUGUUGAGACUCCCCCUGUUCCAGUAUACAAUCCUCCUCCGGUUGUUGAGACUCCCCCUGUUCCAGUAUACAAUCCUCCUCCGGUUGUUGAGACUCCCCCUGUUCCAGUAUACAAUCCUCCUCCGGUUGUUGAGACUCCCCCUGUUCCAGUAUACAAUCCUCCUCCGGUUGUUGAACCACCACCAGUUUACAAUCCUCCUCCGGUUUACAAUCCUCCUCCUGUUUACACACCAACACCAAAGCCAGAACCACCAGUAGUCAAGCCUCCUUGUGACCCAAAACCAAAGCCACAGCCACCUGUCUACAAACCUGCUCCCAUUCCGGUUUAUAAGCCAAAGCCAAAGCCGCCAGUCUACAAGCCUGCUCCCGUCCCAGUUUACAAGCCAAAGCCAAAUCCAGAGCCUCCAGUCUACAAGCCUGCUCCCAUUCCGGUUUAUAAGCCAAAGCCAAAGCCACCAGUCUACAAGCCUUCUCCCAUCCCAGUUUACAAACCAAAGCCAAAUCCAGAGCCUCCGGUUUACAAGCCUGCUCCCAUUCCAGUUUAUAAGCCAAAACCAAAACCGCCUGUUUAUAAGCCUGCUCCCGUUCCAGUUUACAAACCAAAGCCAAAGCCACCCGUUUACAAGCCUGCUCCAGUUCCGGUUUACAAGCCAAAGCCAAAGCCGCCAGUCUACAAACCGGCUCCGGUUCCAGUUUACAAGCCAAAACCAGAGCCACCGGUUUACAAGCCAGCUCCGGUUCCGGUUCCAGUUUACAAACCAAAGCCAAAGCCGCCAGUCUACAAACCUUCCCCUGUUCCAGUUUAUAAGCCAAAGCCUGAGCCACCGGUCUACAAACCUGCCCCUGUUCCAGUUUACAAGCCAAAGCCAGAGCCACCGGUUGUCAAGCCUCCUUGUGACCCAAAACCAAAACCAGAGCCACCUGUCUACAAGCCUGCUCCCGUUCCUAUUUACAAACCUAAGCCAGAGCCGCCAGUCUACAAGCCUUCUCCAGUUCCAGUUUACAAACCGGAGCCAAAACCGCCUGUUUAUAAUCCUUCUCCUGUUCCAGAUUACAAUCCAACACCAAAAUCACCAUUGCCUCCGGUAAUAGACCCACCUUCACCAAAGAAACCUUGCCCACCAUUUUCUCUCCCAAAGCUUCCUCCUUUGCCCACCAUUCCUCCAAAGUAUUUCCAUCAUCACCCCAUCCUAGGAAAUCAUCAUCAUUUGCCCACCAUUCCUCCAAAAUAUUUUCAUCAUCCCAUUCCUUCCCUACCUCCUAAGUACUCUCAUCCUUAAUUAAGACUUUGCAUGCUAUCAACAAACAAAUAAAGACUUCAUGAUUGGAAACAAUUUGAGAAGAUUAUGCAUAGAGAUUGAUAGAUCCGGCAAAGCGAUUAGGAUUUCGUUU
rnacentral:lncRNA from 1 species